GACGGAGCAACGCCGCGUGAGUGAUGAAGGUUUUCGGAUCGUAAAGCUCUGUUGUUAGGGAAGAACAAGUGCGAGAGUAACUGCUCGCACCUUGACGGUACCUAACCAGAAAGCCACGGCUAACUACGUGCCAGCAGCCGCGGUAAUACGUAGGUGGCAAGCGUUGUCCGGAAUUAUUGGGCGUAAAGGGCUCGCAGGCGGUUUCUUAAGUCUGAUGUGAAAGCCCCCGGCUCAACCGGGGAGGGUCAUUGGAAACUGGGAAACUUGAGUGCAGAAGAGGAGAGUGGAAUUCCACGUGUAGCGGUGAAAUGCGUAGAGAUGUGGAGGAACACCAGUGGCGAAGGCGACUCUCUGGUCUGUAACUGACGCUGAGGAGCGAAAGCGUGGGGAGCGAACAGGAUUAGAUACCCUGGUAGUCCACGCCGUAAACGAUGAGUGCUAAGUGUUAGGGGGUUUCCGCCCCUUAGUGCUGCAGCUAACGCAUUAAGCACUCCGCCUGGGGAGUACGGUCGCAAGACUGAAACUCAAAGGAAUUGACGGGGGCCCGCACAAGCGGUGGAGCAUGUGGUUUAAUUCGAAGCAACGCGAAGAACCUUACCAGGUCUUGACAUCCUCUGACAACCCUAGAGAUAGGGCUUUCCCUUCGGGGACAGAGUGACAGGUGGUGCAUGGUUGUCGUCAGCUCGUGUCGUGAGAUGUUGGGUUAAGUCCCGCAACGAGCGCAACCCUUGAUCUUAGUUGCCAGCAUUCAGUUGGGCACUCUAAGGUGACUGCCGGUGACAAACCGGAGGAAGGUGGGGAUGACGUCAAAUCAUCAUGCCCCUUAUGACCUGGGCUACACACGUGCUACAAUGGACAGAACAAAGGGCUGCAAGACCGCAAGGUUUAGCCAAUCCCAUAAAUCUGUUCUCAGUUCGGAUCGCAGUCUGCAACUCGACUGCGUGAAGCUGGAAUCGCUAGUAAUCGCGGAUCAGC
rnacentral:rRNA from 2 species